rnacentral:piRNA from 1 species
UCAAACUCUGAGUUUCACCUGCCUCUGCUUC